AUGCCAGCUGAAGGUCACUUGUCCUGUGGGAUCCCCAUCCUGGGAACAUGGAGGGGCUGCGGGAAGCAGAGUGGAAUGGAAGUGUCUUCACUCUUGACUUGGACUACAGAAGGCUGCACAUAUUUAGAAUCUCUGCAUGGUGCAAAUCAGCACACCCAGAGGAGCUCUGGGGAUUUGCUCCUGCUAAGAAACCAGUCCCUCACUUCCUCCAGGCUCUGACAUUUCGAGGACCGUGUUACGACACAGAACAGCAAUUCUGAAAUGCCAGAGCAAUCCCACUUUAUCACCACGUGGUCCUGCUGAGUAAAAUAACAAAGCUCAGUUUCUCCAUGCAGGGUACAUUUCAGCAUGCAAGUUUAUUUUUCUGCAAUGACAGUUUUCUUCCUCCUCUAAUUUCACCAGGAAUUACUAUGGGCCUGCAUACUCCUCAGGAAAUACUGUCUCAGCAAACUGAUUUGUUACAACUUCUGGACAGAAUCAAAAUUCAUUACACUAAUCAGAUUCUUUGAUAAUUCUGCAAAGCACUGCUCUCAGGUGUGAUGUGGAACCACAAGUACAGAUAUUCUUGAUGUCUAGUAGUUUUAAAAUCUGGUGAGAUAUUUUAAUGGACAGUUCAUCCUCUCUGCUGAUGUGCGCACAUGUACUGUUAACAUUAUACUGAGCCAUACUGAGCAGGCAUAGUAAAACCCACCAGAAUAUGCUAUUUUCUGUAUUUGUAAGAAGUGAGCCCACCUCUGUGGGAAUCCAUUCCCAGCACAGUACAGAGACAUAUGGUAGUUAAUAGCAAAGCCACAAAUCAUCUCUAAAUUCACCUAAACAAAGCCAGAGAUCAUCUAAUUUAUUGCUGGUGGCAGUCCUGCUUUGACUUGCUCCAGGUAGCCCCUAGCAGCCCUCUAGCACUUAACAGGGAAAAAAAAUUCCUACUGGACUUGAAAGGAAUGGCAGAUGUUUGGGGAGAGGGGUGGGAGUAGUUUCAGAUUUUAAAAAUUAUGCAAACAUUUCCAAUUUGACCAGGAAUUUGUCCCCUCUAAUACUGAAAAUGUUUCAUUUUCAGCUUGCUGAUGCACUCAAAAGUAUUAUUUCUCUAAAAAGUGAGAAGAUAAUUGCCUGCCUGAGAAUGAAAAUGUAUUGUGAUACCUUUAGCUGGUUUUCAUUCUGUGGCUCCACAAUACUCCUUUGAGUUUGUGAUUGCUGAUACACACGAUGUACUCUAACACAAUGUUAUCUUGUUUUUGUGCUACUGAAAGGGUUGUUAGCUGUUUCUUUCCUGAACUGUAGCACCACAAUAUACAUAUUGUACUCACUGGCAGGCAAUUCUCUGACUGCUUCCAUCUUCCACCUUACUACUAGAAGAGCUGUAUUUCAGCACUCUGCAGACAUGCACUGACGGGUGCUGAGCUUGACAUCUGGACCUGUCCAGCAAAGGGCAGCAAGGCCCCUGAGAGGUCUGGAAAAUAUGUCUUUUGAGAAAAGCUGAGGGAGCUGGGGUUGUUUAGUUCUGUCAUGGUUUUUAAGUUUUGUUUCUUUACAUUGUCAGUAAGAAAGAAAAGGUUGUGGGGAGAGGAGAAGUGUUCUGAAGGUUUUGUUCUGAUUUUUGUUACUCUUUCUUAUAGUUACUGUUAAUAAAUUUUUUUGUACCCUUUUAAAAUUUUGAGCC
rnacentral:lncRNA from 1 species